GACGAACGCUGGCGGCGUGCCUAAUACAUGCAAGUUGAGCGAUGAAGCUUGGUGCUUGCACCAAUUUGAAGAGCAGCGCACGUGUGAGUAACGCGUGUGGAAUCUGCCUUUGAGUGGGGGACAACAUUUGGAAACGAAUGCUAAUACCGCAUAACAACUUUAAACAUAAGUGUUAAGGUUGAAAGAUGCAAUUGCAUCACUCAAAGAUGAUUCCGCGUUGUAUUAGCUAGUUGGUGAGGUAAAGGCUCACCAAGGCGAUGAUACAUAGCCGAACUGAGAGGGUGGGCGGCCACAUUGGGACUGAGACACGGCCCAAACUCCUACGGGAGGCAGCAGUAGGGAAUCUUCGGCAAGAGGUGAGAGUCUGACCGAGCAGCGCCGCGUGAGUGAAGAAGGGUGUCGGGUCGUAAAACUCUGUUGGUAGAGAAGAACGUUGGUGAGAGUGGAAAGCUCAGCAAGUGACGGUAACUACUAAGAAAGGGACGGCUAACUACGUG
rnacentral:rRNA from 1 species